UGAGGAAUAUUGGGCAAUGUCCGCAAGGGUGACCCAGCAACGCCGCGUGGAGGAUGAAUGUCGUAAGAUUGUAAACUCCUGUUAGAGGGGAAGAAUAGUACCGGUUGGACCGGUAUAUGACUGUACCCUCAGAGAAAGCCCCGGCUAACUACGUGCCAGCAGCCGCGGUAAUACGUAGGGGCAAGCGUUGUCCGGAUUUACUGGGUGUAAAGGGCGCGCAGGCGGGAUAAAAAGUCAGUGGUGAAAUCCUACAGCUUAACUGUAGAACUGCCUUUGAUACUUUUAGUCUUGAGUUCGGGAGAGAGAGACGCAAUUCCAGGUGUAGUGGUGAGAUACGUAGAUAUCUGGAAGAACACCAGUUGCGAAGGCGGUCUCUUGGUCCGACACUGACGCUGAGGCGCGAAAGCGUGGGGAGCAAACA
rnacentral:rRNA from 1 species